AUUGAACGCUGGCGGCAUGCCUUACACAUGCAAGUCGAACGGCAGCACGGGAGCAAUCCUGGUGGCGAGUGGCGAACGGGUGAGUAAAGUAUCGGAACGUGCCCAGUCGUGGGGGAUAACGUAGCGAAAGUUACGCUAAUACCGCAUACGGUCUAUGGAUGAAAGCGGGGAUCGCAAGACCUCGCGCGAUUGGAGCGGCCGAUAUCAGAUUAGGGAGUUGGUGGGGUAAAGGCUCAACAAGCCGACGAUCUGUAGCUGGUCUGAGAGGACGACCAGCCACACUGGGACUGAGACACGGCCCAGACUCCUACGGGAGGCAGCAGUGGGGAAUUUUGGACGAUGGGCGCAAGCCUGAUCCAGCCAUGCCGCGUGCAGGAUGAAGGCCUUCGGGUUGUAAACUGCUUUUGUACGGAACGAAAAGGUUUGGCCUAAUAAGCUGAGCUCAUGACGGUACCGUAAGAAUAAGCACCGGCUAACUACGUGCCAGCAGCCGCAGUAA
rnacentral:rRNA from 1 species